GAUGGGAGUUCACAGCUCUUCCCACUACAGUGUCUUUGUUCUACCAUCCAAAAUCUAACCCUCAGAAAUCAUAAGCCCAGUUCAAUGCAAAUGCUUUCUUUUAUAAGUUGCCUUGGCCAUGGUGUUUCACUGCAGCACUAGAAGAGUAACUGAUGCCGUAGGAGAGCCUGAUGAGCAAGCCAUGGAAAGUAAGCCAAUAGGCAGCAUUUCUCCAUGGUUCCGGCCGCCAUGUUCCUGCUUGAGGUCCUGCUCUGACUUCCCUGAAUGAUGAUGCACUAUGACCAGGACAGGAAAUCUACAAUAGGACUUUUUCUUUCCUGGUUCCAGAGAAUGGCUGAGAAGACCUUUCAGCAGUUUCAAAUGCAAGAACCAGAUAUCACCCGUUGUUAUUGAGAGUAAAUCAAUACCGUGCCUGUCACAGCUUCUUCCCCGCCCUCCUCCUUUUGGAUGCAACGGCUGUUCUCUCUCAGUUUGUGGGGAGUUACUCCAGAGCCUCCUCCUCCAGGGUACCAAAUCUCGGGCUGGCUUGGUUCCUUACAUAGAAUGUCAUGGCAUUGCCCAGGACCUUGGGAUAGCCUCCAGAUACUUCAAAUCAUCUCUCCAUUGCGUUUGUGUUCCUUACACCUGUACAGAGUCAGUGCUGUGUGAGUCAUUGUUGUAUGCUUAGAGAAUGGUGCCAGGUUUUUUUUUUUUAAAGCCUAUGCAUGUUCAGUGCAGAUGCAACUUCUACUUUCAAAUAUGUUGACUGUGAUACAAACUGAAUCUUGGAACUCAGCAUGUGAAAAUACAGAAGAUCCCCUGCACCCUAAAAAGAAUAGUGUCUCUAUCAAACAUACCCUCUCAUGCCUGAGGUCAGUCUGAGAUGAUAAGAUGUAAUACUCACUGGAAAAUUGUACCAUACCCUCCAAAAGUCGUUAAAUUUACUCUGUGAAGAACCAGAAAUGCACAACCACAUAACAGAGGCAAAUGACUUCAUUUUAUUAUUCAUGUAUUCCUAAGAUCCUGCAAUACCGUCAACUUCUCCAUUUGCUGAUAUCCGUGUAGUAACAAUAAUAUCAUUAAUAUCAUCAAACCCAAGAGACAUUAGGAAGGAAAUGCUAACCCAGGGAUGCUUGGGUUGGUCCCAUAUAAAACAGCGAAAGGUGUAAACUUUCAGGGGCUGGAGAGGUGGCUCAGCAGUUAAGAGUACUUGUUGCUUGUGACCACUUGUAACUCCAGAUCCAGGGGACUGGACUCCCUCUUCUAGCUUCUAUGAGCAGGAAUUCUUGUAGUUUACAUACCUGCAUACAGCAGUUAUUCACAUAAAUAAAUCUUAGAAGGGUGGUGGAGAGGGAGAAGAGCAAAUGUUCACAAUGCCCAAAGCCAGAGAAACUGUUUGGAAGUAUGAUAACGAGGGAAGGACUACAAGACUAUCUAGGAGACAAAGUUGUGAGGAGAAAAUGGAUGGAGCAGGUGAGCUUUGCAGGUCCCAUACAACACAGAAAACAAAGAGGAGCUGGGCUUAGCUGAACGUAUCAACACAGUAUUAACAGUAAACCUCCCACCCAAGUACUGCCAGACUCAGACGUCCUUAGCUUCUACUCUAUUUUGAUUCUGUUGCUAUGGCAAAUGCCAUAACCAAAAGCCACUUAGGGAAAAAGUGUUUUAUUUUCCUGUGAACCCGAAGCCAGGAUUGCUUGUUAUUUUACACAGCAUUCCCUCAGAUCAGGGAACCCACUCAGAGCCAAGGCAGUGCAACAGAAACCACAACAGAUCACUGCUUCCUGGCUCACAGGUUCACCUUUGGUUAGAUAAGGGCUUACUUAGUAAGGGCUUCCUUACACAGUCCACCUGCAUAGGGAUUGAUGCUGCCCACAGUGGGCUGAACUCUCCCAUCUUAAAUAACAAUCAAGAUAAAUACCUCACAGACAUGCUCUUAGGGCAAUCUGACCUGAGUGGCCUCAGUCAAGGCUCCUUUCUCAAAUGACUCCAGGCUGUGUCAAGCUGACAGUUGAAGUUUACAAGGACAGCUGAGAUCAGGUAAAAUUGGCCAUUUUCAGUGUGGCAUAGCCACAGACAUAAUAAUAAGUUAAUGGAAGCACUUGUGUAGUCUACCUUCCCCCAGCCUGAAACCUGUUUGCUCAGGGGUGGAGCUUGCCGCUCAAUCGUUCUGCCACGCCCACAGCUGGAACCUGCCACUUUGCUGUUCUGGAGCCAUACGAGUGGUCACCCUGCUACUGGACUCCAAGAUUAUUUGGCGGGAAUCGGGCCCCCUUCCCCUGCUUCAUAACUGCAUGCAGAAUAAUAAAAUUGAGCUUUGAUCAGGAUGACUGUCUUAGCUCCGUCUUCAUCUCGAACAGCCCGGCCCCUCUUUUCUUCCAGGUUUCCAAAAUGCCUUUCCAGGCUAGAACCCAGACAUGUGAUCUGCUGGCCAGACACAACACACUUGCAUCUCCCAGGCAUGCUGAAAAGGAAGAAUGUUUUGAUUCCAGCAGCUUUGGUUAGGAGGAUGAAAAUAAUGUGGAGCCUUUUAAGAAGAAACUAACUGAAAAGAAAGAAGACAAAACUCAAGAUUAUAUCUAAUUUGGAAUCAUUUAGAUAGUGACAACCAAGGCCUGGAGAUGUACCUCCAUGGGGGAGCCCUUGCCUGGCGCACACACAAGGCCUCCUUUGACUCUUAAAAAAAAAUCACGUAGGGAAAUUGUAUUUAAUGUGCUGUGUUUAAUAACUUAUAUUUAAUGUUGUAAGGAGUAGAGGGUGGGUCUCUAAAAAUAUGAGUAUUCUUGGCACACCAUUAAAUACUUUAAACAGUGUUUUUAAUCAUCACUGUGUUCAAUAAAACUCUAACGCAGUGUAGAUUUAUGUUGUAAUGGAGUGAGGGGAAACAGAAAAAGGCCACCAAAGAAUGAAAACAAAAAACAUUUCCUAGAA